GUUGUAUAGUCAAGUAAUUAAGUGCAUGUGGUGGAUGCCUUGGCAGUCAGAGGCGAUGAAAGACGUGAUAGCCUGCGAAAAGCUCCGGGGAGGCGGCAAAUAUCCUUUGAUCCGGAGAUGUCUGAAUGGGGGAACCCACCUACUUUAAGGUAGGUAUUGCAACAUGAAUACAUAGUGUUGCAAGGCGAACGAGGGGAAGUGAAACAUCUCAGUACCCUUAGGAAAAGAAAUCAAUUGAGAUUCCCUCAGUAGCGGCGAGCGAACGGGGAUCAGCCCAUUAAGUUAUGUGUGUUUUAGUGGAACGCUCUGGGAAGUGCGAACGUAGAGGGUGAUAUUCCCGUACACGAAAGGGCACACAUAAUGAUGACGAGUAGGGCGAGGCACGUGAAACCUUGUCUGAAUAUGGGGGGACCAUCCUCCAAGGCUAAAUACUCCUGACUGACCGAUAGUGAACCAGUACCGUGAGGGAAAGGCGAAAAGAACCCCUGUGAGGGGAGUGAAAUAGAUCCUGAAACCGCAUGCAUACAAGCAGUGGGAGCACCUUCGUGGUGUGACUGCGUACCUUUUGUAUAAUGGGUCAGCGACUUAUAUUCAGUAGCGAGGUUAACCGUAUAGGGGAGCCGUAGAGAAAUCGAGUCUUAAUAGGGCGUUUAGUUGCUGGGUAUAGACCCGAAACCAGGCGAUCUAUCCAUGAGCAGGUUGAAGGUUGGGUAACACUAACUGGAGGACCGAACCCACUGUCGUUGAAAAGCCAGGGGAUGACUUGUGGAUAGGGGUGAAAGGCUAAUCAAGCCUGGUGAUAGCUGGUUCUCCCCGAAAGCUAUUUAGGUAGCGCCUCGGACGAAUACCAUAGGGGGUAGAGCACUGUUUCGGCUAGGGGGUCAUCCCGACUUACCAAACCGAUGCAAACUCCGAAUACCUAUGAGUACUAUCCGGGAGACAGACUGCGGGUGCUAACGUCCGUAGUCAAGAGGAAAACAAUCCAGACCGCCAGCUAAGGCCCCAAAAUCAUAGUUAAGUGGGAAACGAUGUGGGAAGGCAUAGACAGCUAGGAGGUUGGCUUANNNNNNNNNNNNNNNNNNNNNNNNNNNNNNGAAGCAGCCACCCUUUAAAGAAAGCGUAAUAGCUCACUAGUCGAGUCGGCCUGCGCGGAAGAUGUAACGGGGCUAAAACUAUGUGCCGAAGCUGCGGAUGUAUACUUUGUAUACGUGGUAGGGGAGCGUUCUGUAAGCCGAUGAAGGUGUGUUGAGAAGCNAUGCUGGAGGUAUCAGAAGUGCGAAUGCUGACGUGAGUAACGACAAAACGGGUGAAAAACCCGUUCGCCGAAAGACCAAGGGUUCCAGUCCAACGUUAAUCGGGGCUGGGUGAGUCGACCCCUAAGGCGAGGCCGAAAGGCGUAGUCGAUGGGAAAAUGGUUAAUAUUCCAUUACUUCUGUGUAAUGCGAUGAGAGGACGGAGAAGGCUAAAUCAGCCUGGCGUUGGUUGUCCAGGUGAAAGGAUGUAGGCAUGUAUCUUAGGCAAAUCCGGGGUACUCUAUGCUGAGAUCUGAUAGCAAGCUGUACUUGUACAGCGAAGUGGUUGAUGCCAUGCUUCCAGGAAAAGUCUCUAAGCUUCAGUUACACAGGAAUCGUACCCGAAACCGACACAGGUGGUCAGGUCGAGUAGACCAAGGCGCUUGAGAGAACUCUGCUGAAGGAACUAGGCAAAAUGGUACCGUAACUUCGGGAGAAGGUACGCUGUUGUUGGUGAUGGAACUCGCUUCCUGAGCUGACGACAGCCGCAGAAACCAGGCCGCUGCAACUGUUUAUUAAAAACAUAGCACUCUGCAAACACGAAAGUGGACGUAUAGGGUGUGAUGCCUGCCCGGUGCUGGAAGGUUAAUUGAUGGGGUUAGCGUAAGCGAAGCUCUUGAUCGAAGCCCCAGUAAACGGCGGCCGUAACUAUAACGGUCCUAAGGUAGCGAAAUUCCUUGUCGGGUAAGUUCCGACCUGCACGAAUGGCAUAAUGAUGGCGGCGCUGUCUCCAGCAGAGGCUCAGUGAAAUCGAAAUCGCUGUGAAGAUGCAGUGUACCCGCGGCUAGACGGAAAGACCCCGUGAACCUUUACUGCAGCUUGACACUGAACUUUGACCUUACUUGUGUAGGAUAGGUGGGAGGCUUUGAAGCUGGAACGCUAGUUCCAGUGGAGCCGUCCUUGAAAUACCACCCUGGUAAUGUUGAGGUUCUAACUCUGUCCCGUGAUCCGGGACGAGGACCGUGUCUGGUGGGUAGUUUGACUGGGGCGGUCUCCUCCUAAAGAGUAACGGAGGAGUACGAAGGUGCGCUCAGCGUGGUCGGAAAUCACGCGUAGAGUAUAAAGGCAAAAGCGCGCUUAACUGCGAGACCCACAAGUCGAGCAGGUACGAAAGUAGGUCUUAGUGAUCCGGUGGUUCUGUAUGGAAGGGCCAUCGCUCAACGGAUAAAAGGUACUCUGGGGAUAACAGGCUGAUACCGCCCAAGAGUUCAUAUCGACGGCGGUGUUUGGCACCUCGAUGUCGGCUCAUCUCAUCCUGGGGCUGAAGCAGGUCCCAAGGGUAUGGCUGUUCGCCAUUUAAAGAGGUACGCGAGCUGGGUUUAGAACGUCGUGAGACAGUUCGGUCCCUAUCUACCGUGGGCGCUGGAAAUUUGAGAGGAUCUGCUCCUAGUACGAGAGGACCAGAGUGGACGAACCUCUGGUGUACCGGUUGUGACGCCAGUCGCAUCGCCGGGUAGCUAUGUUCGGAAGGGAUAACCGCUGAAAGCAUCUAAGCGGGAAGCCUACCUCAAGAUAAGAUUUCCCUAGGACUUUAUGUCCUCUAAAGAGCCGUUCGAGACUAGGACGUUGAUAGGUUGGAUGUGGAAGCAUAGUGAUAUGUGAAGCUGACCAAUACUAAUUGCUCGUGAGGCUUGACUAUACAACACCCAAGCAGUUG
rnacentral:rRNA from 1 species